CGCUGGCGGCGUGCUUAAUACAUGCAAGUCAACUUGACUUUAGAUAGCAAUAUCGAAAAGUAGGGUGGCGCACGGGUGCGUAACGCGUAGGUAAUCUGCCCUGAGGUCUGACAUAACCCGUCGAAAGGCGGGCUAACAUCAGAUGAUAUAUAAUCACGACAUCGUGGAAAUAUCAAAUCUUCGGAGCCUUGGGAUGAGCCUGCGUCUGAUUAGGUAGUUGGCGGAGUAAUAGCCCACCAAGCCUACGAUCAGUAGCUGGUCUGAGAGGAUGAUCAGCCACACUGGAACUGAGACACGGUCCAGACUCCUACGGGAGGCAGCAGUAAGGAAUAUUGCUCAAUGGGGGGAAACCCUGAAGCAGCAACGCCGCGUGAAGGAUGAAAUACUUUGUAUGUAAACUUCUGUAAGAUGGGAAAAAUAUUCUCCUCGGGAGAAUUGAUUGUACCAUCAGAGUAAGCCCCGGCUAACUACGUG
rnacentral:rRNA from 1 species